GGCGGCGGGGCAGCGGGAGGAGCGGGCCGAGCAGUGGCAGCCGCGUCCUUGCACGCUGGGAUGUAGCGAACCAGAAGGGGCCGAAGCUGCGCGCAGAGCCGGAGACGCAGCUGGAUCCGGGGCCCUAGCCAGAGUCCAAACCUAAGCCAGAGUCCGUGGCGAGCGAGCCCGGAGCCGAGGAGCCGCACGCGCCGCGCAGUCCGGGUCAGCUGUGCCGCAGGAAAGCAACAGACGUCGGCCGGAGCCCCGGCUGUCUUCGCCGCGCACCCCGACGUCCCGCCGCAGUGCUUGGAGGCGCCCCCAGCCCAAAGCGGCCUGCCGGAGCCGCCACCGGUCAGGCUUUUCCUUACCCUGAGAGAAACCCCAAAUGCUCUUGGCAAAAUCCAAUAAAGACAUUCCCGCAGCUUC